rnacentral:rRNA from 1 species
UACGGAGGGGGCUAGCGUUGUUCGGAAUUACUGGGCGUAAAGCGCGCGUAGGCGGACCUGCAAGUCGGGGGUGAAAGCCCGAGGCUCAACCUCGGAACUGCCUUCGAUACUGCGGGUCUCGAGUCCGGGAGAGGUGAGUGGAAUUCCUAGUGUAGAGGUGAAAUUCGUAGAUAUUAGGAAGAACACCAGUGGCGAAGGCGGCUCACUGGCCCGGUACUGACGCUGAGGCGCGCAAGCGUGGGGAGCAAACAGG